rnacentral:rRNA from 1 species
CGCUUUUUGUUGUAUUGAAUAUAAAAAGUAGAGCCUGCCCAGUGAAGUGAAAUUUAAACGGCCGCAGUACCCUGACUGUGCGAAGGUAGCAUAAUCAUUUGCUCUUUAAUUAGGAGCUGGAAUGAAUGGUUUGACGAGGGUUUAACUGUCUUAAAUUAAUUUAUUAAAAAUUGACUUUUAGGUGAAAAGGCCUAAAUUAAGCUAGAGGACAAGAAGACCCUAUUGAGCUUUAAUUACUUUUCAAGUUAUUAACAUAUAAAUAUAGUUUAGUUUGGAAAAUGAUUUGGAUUGGGGCGAUCAAGGAAAAUAAUAAACUUCCUUUUAUUUUACUAGAAAUAUAGUUUAGUGAUCCAAAAUUUUUGAUUAUAAGAAUAAGUUACCAUAGGGAUAACAGCGUAAUCCUUUUUGAGAGUUCUUAUCGAAAAAAGGGGUUGCGACCUCGAUGUUGGACUAAGAUGUCCUGAAGGUGUAGCAGCUUUUAAGGGUUGGUCUGUUCGACCAUUAAAAUCUUACA